rnacentral:rRNA from 1 species
AUUGAACGCUGGCGGCAGGCCUAACACAUGCAAGUCGAGCGGCCAGCGGGCGGGUAAGGAAUGUCAGGGAACCCGCCAGAUGGGGGGGACUAACCAAUGGAGACGGUAGCUAAGAACGCAUACGAUCAGAUGUGCCCAGAUGGGAUUAGCUAGUGGGUGGGGUAACGGCUCACCCAGGCGACGAUCCCUAGCUGGUUUGAGAGGAUGACCAGCCACACUGGAACUGAGACACGGUCCAGACUCCUACGGGAGGCAGCAGUGGGGAAUAUUGCACAAUGGGGGAAAGCCUGAUCCAGCCAUGCCGCGUGUGCGAUGAAGGCCUUCGGGUUGUAAAGCACUUUCGGCAGGGAAGCGUUACCCGCAGAAUAAGCACCGGCUAACUCCGUGCCAGCAGCCGCGGUAAUUC